rnacentral:lncRNA from 1 species
CUUCCCUACUUGGUCCUGGGAGGCUGGUGACUUCAGUGAGAACAGAGAGCCGGGGCUUCAGGCAUGGGCCCUGCAGAUCAGCCCCCUUCCAAAGAAGCCUGAAAAGCCAGCCUCCGUGCCGGGCAGGCCGGUUCCAGGUGGGGCACCGCCUCCUAGCUGAGCCGUCACAGAGCAGCUCGUAUUCUCUGGGCUCCAGUGUCCUUGCUGCAAGUGUGCAGGCUCUGCCCGUCCCGUGUCCAGACUCUUCCCCUUUGGUUUGCCCUGGAGUCCUCGAUCUGGACGUGCCUGCUGGGGUAGCUCCAGGCCUGCUGACGAGGGACAGGGACCUGCAGCCCGAGGUCCCCACCGUCUGAGCCCAUCCCCUCCCGCCCAGGGUGGAGGUCCUGAUGCAUUAGCAUCCUCAUCCUGAGGAGGUCCUGAUGCAUUAGCCCGUCUAGUAUCACAUCUGAUUCCCACCCCCAGGCCCAGCGCAGAGUUCCCGGGCGGAAUGGGGCUGCAGAAGGCGGGACCCCAGGCUCUGGGAGGGCCUGGGGCCCCGGGCAGGCCCACUGCUGCCCCCGCCCUCUGCCACACUGACUGACACAGAGCCAGGCCCUGCUCUGGGCUCCACGGAACCCGCGCCAAGCUGAGGACCCUGCACGGAGCCCAGGGCUGUGUCCAGGGCCGGGGCCCUCCUGGGGUCCCCGAUCUGUGGGCAUGCGGGUGGUGAAGACCGCCUCCCUCCUGGGCACGUCUCCUGGCUGACCCAGGUGGGCGGGUCUAGGUGCAGGGGCGGGCGCCUCCUUUCCCGGCUUUCCCAGCAGACUUUGCCCCAAACGCCUGCCUGAGUUUCCUUGCGGUCUUCACUUCCUGCUCCGGACUCAGCGGGCAGUGCCUCCUCGGUGGGAGCCAAGUCCACCCCAGUCUCAACCCUGGACCUCCUCUCUCCCCACCCUCCCUUCCUCCCCAGGCGAGGUCAGCUUGGGGGAGGCAGAGCUUCUAGGGUGAGUAUCAAGACCCUAGCUCCCUGAAAGCAGGUGUCAGGGCAGGACGUCCUGGGCAGGAGGCAGGACGCGGCCAGCCAGGCCAGGGCCAAGGCUCUCAGAUGCUCCAGGCACUUUUUCCUGUCUGUCUGUCUGUCUGUCUCCAUUCACAAGCAUGCCUGGCUAAGUGCCCCAUGUCUGCCUCAUCUGGUUCUACUGAAUUUCUUUUGCUUCCAUGAUAUUUAACAGAUUCAUCCUAGCUUUUACUGUGUUUUGAAAUGAAGGGAGAAGUCAUUUUGUUCCCGAGGACCCUCUGGGCUUUAUGAC